CUACGGGGCGCAGCAGUGAGGAAUAUUGGUCAAUGGGCGAGAGCCUGAACCAGCCAAGUCGCGUGAAGGAUGACGGCCCUACGGGUUGUAAACUUCUUUUGUCAGGGAGCAAUUGGGUCCACGCGUGGGCUUAGCGAGAGUACCUGAAGAAAAAGCAUCGGCUAACUCCGUGCCAGCAGCCGCGGUAAUACGUAGGUGGCAAGCGUUGUCCGGAUUUACUGGGUGUAAAGGGCGUGCAGCCGGAGAGACAAGUCAGAUGUGAAAUCCGCAGGCUCAACCUGCGAACUGCAUUUGAAACUGUUUCC
rnacentral:rRNA from 1 species